AAUCCCUUUUCAGUACCUUCCACUCGCAUCACCAUGAAUGGACGGCUAUGCUAAUGGGAUAGAAAAACACUGUCAUGGUCUGAAGGUGUGGCUAGCUUACUGUGAGCCCCACUCAAUAAAAUGACAGAAUAUGUCAAU
ensembl:snoRNA